GCCACCUUCAUGGCUUCUUCAUAACAUACAUCUCCCAGGAGACUAUACCCGUGCUCACUGUCUGGGUCCUGCAGGUCCAUUUCACUAUUCCGAUCAGAAUCUUAAAUCACUAAAAAUAGAUUCAGUGGGACAAGAAAGCAGUGUCAACGCAGUAAAGUUUAAGAUUGUUCACCUCCACUGGGUACGUCCCAACGUCAAUAACAACAGCUCCUGGUUUAAGCCAACUACCCCGUACCAAGUUUGGGACUCCUGCUGCUGAAAUCACAAUAUCGGCCUCAAGCGUGAUGUCUUCUGGAUUCUUCGUGAAUGCAUGCACUACACUCACAGUUGCAUGGUGCCUCUGCCAAAACAAAUAUGGGACAACCCUAAUCAGACCUCAUUGACCUGGUGAAUUGCGGGGUCAGCUUACUCCUAUAGGGUCUACUAUUACUUGGAGCCAAUUCAGUCCUCCACUUUAAUGUCUGGGUGUUUACUUCCCUUACAACUCUUGCCGACAUGGCACAUUUUCCAACAAUUUGAAUGAAGACUAGAUUCUUUUGGAUGAUGUGGUGCCACAUCAAUCCACCACUGAACAGGACUCAAUCAAAUAAAACAAAAACUCAAUUAUUAAGAA